UGCAACAUAAUUAUAUUAUAUGAAUUGUGUAUCUAACCAAAUUUUUUGUCUCAAUCUUAUUGUCAGAUUCAACAGUUUACAGAACAUGUAGAAAAGUAAUGGCUGACUAGUGAUGGGAAUGAACUGAUAUUUUCAUGAGCUAGGAAUUUCUAAGUGAAAUAGGAGGUUCAUUUGUUUCCAAGCUAGAAAUCUCAGGGGGAGAUGGUGUUGUCCAAGUAAAUGGAAAGAUAAUUGAUAAAAAUUCCAGUGUGAUCUUUAAUGCUAGAGAUGAGGUGGUGUUCAGUUCAUCUAGUAAACAUGCUUAUAUUUUCCAGCAACUCACUUUGCCAUUUUACCACUCAUUUUGGAAUCGCACCACUAAGCCAUCCCUGGUAUGGACUAUCUAGAUCUAUUUUGUUGUUCUUAUUAGCUACAUCUGAAUCUCCAUACCUUUUUAUGGGUUAUACAACUAUCAUUUGAAUGAGUAUUAAUAGUUUAAUCUCUACUGAGACGGGAUCUCACAAGAAAUUUGU